UACGGGGGGGGGCAAGCGUUGUUCGGAUUUACUGGGCGUAAAGGGCGCGCAGGCGGCAGACCAAGUCAGGCGUGAAAUCCCCGGGCUUAACCUGGGAACUGCGUUUGAAACUACAAGGCUAGAGUGUGGCAGAGGGGGGGUGGAAUUCCACGUGUAGCAGUGAAAUGCGUAGAGAUGUGGAGGAACACCGAUGGCGAAGGCAGCCCCCUGGGUUAACACUGACGCUCAGGCACGAAAGCGUGGGGAGCAAACAGG
rnacentral:rRNA from 1 species